UACGUAGGGACCUAGCGUUGUCCGGAAUCAUUGGGCGUAAAGCGCGCGUAGGCGGCCCGGUAAGUCCGUUGUAAAAGUCAAAGGCUCAACCUUUGAAAGCCGAUGGAUACUGCCGGGCUAGAGUACGGAAGAGGCGAGUAGAAUUCCUGGUGUAGCGGUGGAAUGCGCAGAUAUCAGGAGGAAUACCCAUAGCGAAGGCAGCUCGCUGGGACGUUACUGACGCUGAGGCGCGAAGGCCAGGGGAGCAAACGGG
rnacentral:rRNA from 1 species